rnacentral:rRNA from 1 species
GACGAACGCUGGCGGCGUGCUUAACACAUGCAAGUCGAACGAUGAAGCGGGUGCUUGCACUCGUGGAUUAGUGGCGAACGGGCGAGUAACACGUGAGUAACCUGUCCUUUUCUAUGGGAUAACGGCUGGAAACGGCUGCUAAUACUGGAUAUUCAGGCUGCAUCGCAUGGUGUGGUUUGGAAAGGUUUUUUCUGGGAUUGGGUGGGCUCGCGGCCUAUCAGCUUGUUGGUGGGGUGAUGGCUUACCAAGGCUUUGACGGGUAGCCGGCCUGAGAGGGUGGUCGGUCGCACUGGGACUGAGAUACGGCCCAGACUCCUACGGGAGGCAGCAGUGGGGAAUAUUGCACAAUGGACGAAAGUUUGAUGCAGCGACGCCGCGUGGAGGGUGUAGGCCUUCGGGUUGUGAACUCCUUUUUCUCGCGAAAAAGGCACAGUUUUGGCUGUGUUGAUGGUAGUGGGGGAAGAAGCGCCGGCUAACUACGUG